UUAAAGCUUGCAGCUAGCAGUGCACUUUCACUUGCCCUAGGUGUGACCUGCCUCCUCCAGCUUCCAGCAAGAAGUCUGAAGCGCAGUUGCUGUGUGCAGAAUCGCACCUUCAGUGAAGACUUAAUGCUUCAGAAAGAAACUCUGUAUUAAAAACAGUCCUGACCGUUUCCUUUCAAGAUCUGAUGUUAUGUUCCUUGUGGCUUUUUAAGGCAGCAUACUGCAAUUGCUGAGAUGUUAAUUGUGUGCUGGAACCUUCUGGAAUCACACAAGUUCAGGAUGCCUAGAGACAAAUGACAUGGAAAAAGGCCUCUGUGACAUAGGUCCGUAUUGGCACUGACUGUACAAGUGGAAAGACACCUAGACAGAAGUGGGUUUCAUUCUAAAGCAAUUCAGGAAAACAACAGAAGAAGCUACAAAUGUUUUGUGAAUAUUAAGAUGAAGUUCCAGAAGAACUAAUGAGUAUGUAAUUGGAAACACAAAUUUGCAUACAAAUUUGAACGUGAUAUUUCAAAGCUUGCAAACAUCAAAGUGUAUUAAAAUGACAAGCUAC